AUUUCUCCUAAGACGUAUUCAUGUCUAUCACAUUUGUCUUUGCCAGGAACUUUCAGGACCAGCUUCGAAUGGAGGGAUCAGCCAGACAAACACCUAUGACGCCCAGUAUGAGAGGGCCAUCCAGGAGAGCCUCCUCACCAGCACAGAAGGCCUGUGCCCCAGCGCCCUGAGCGAGACAAGCCGUUUUGAUAAUGACUUGCAGCUAGCCAUGGAGCUCUCUGCCAAAGAGCUGGAGGAAUGGGAGCUCCGGCUCCAGGAGGAAGAGGCUGAGCUCCAGCAAGUCUUACAGCUGUCACUCACUGACAAAUAGACCUUUCAGCCUGUGAGCCUCUGCACAAAGCAGAGGCUGUGGGCUGUCACAGAUGCUGUGUCAACCAGGGCCCUAGGGCUAAGGGCCUGCACCUUGCGUGCAUGCAGCAGGCAACAACUGCCCCUUCUUUAUGCAGAGGUGCAGAACCAGGGACUCCUGGGCCCAUCCAGGCUGCUCCCUGGGGUGGAGAAGGGACCAGGGAUUGCAGGCCCCAUCUCCAGGCUAAGGGGAGGAGAGCAUCAUCACUUUCCAUUAGCUGUAUUGGCUUGCAGGUCACAUUUUUACUACCAGCUUUAGACAAAACCCCAAUCCCCGCAGGUUUGUAGAUAAAUUUUUAUCAAGGAGUGAUAACAAGACAAGUUAUUGCAGAGUCAGGGUGCUUUUAUAUAUAAGAGCAGCAGCCGCCUUUGUAAAGUGUGAUCUAUGAGAAUUGGAGACACUUCUUUACUGUU
rnacentral:lncRNA from 1 species